rnacentral:rRNA from 1 species
AUUGAACGCUGGCGGCAGGCCUAACACAUGCAAGUCGAGCGGAUGAAGGGAGCUUGCUCCUGGAUUCAGCGGCGGACGGGUGAGUAAUGCCUAGGAAUCUGCCUGGUAGUGGGGGAUAACGUCCGGAAACGGGCGCUAAUACCGCAUACGUCCUGAGGGAGAAAGUGGGGGAUCUUCGGACCUCACGCUAUCAGAUGAGCCUAGGUCGGAUUAGCUAGUUGGUGGGGUAAAGGCUUACCAAGGCGACGAUCCGUAACUGGUCUGAGAGGAUGAUCAGUCACACUGGAACUGAGACACGGUCCAGACUCCUACGGGAGGCAGCAGUGGGGAAUAUUGGACAAUGGGCGAAAGCCUGAUCCAGCCAUGCCGCGUGUGUGAAGAAGGUCUUCGGAUUGUAAAACACUUUAAGUUGGGAAGAAGGGCAGUGAGUUAAUACCUUGCUGUUUUGACGGUACCAACAGAAUAAGCACCGGCUAACUUCGUG